AUUGAACGCUGGCGGCAGGCCUAACACAUGCAAGUCGAACGAGUGGCGGACGGGUGAGUAAUAUCUGGGAAACUGCCCGAUGGAGGGGGAUAACUACUGGAAACGGUAGCUAAUAACGCAUACCAUCGGAUGUGCCCAGAUGGGAUUAGCUAGUGGGUGGGGUAACGGCUCACCUAGGCGACGAUCCCUAGCUGGUCUGAGAGGAUGACCAGCCACAUUGGACCUGAGACACGGUCCAGACUCCUACGGGAGGCAGCAGUGGGUAAUAUUGCACAAUGGGCGCAAGCCUGAUGCAGCCAUGCCGAGUGUAUGACGAAGGCCUUCGGGUUGUAAAGUACUUUCAGCGAGGAGGCGUUACUCGCAGAAGAAGCACCGGCUAACUCCGUGCCAGCAGCCGCGGUAAUUC
rnacentral:rRNA from 1 species